GUCGGGAUAGCUCAGCUGGAAACAA
rnacentral:tRNA from 1 species